rnacentral:piRNA from 1 species
UGAAUUGUAUCUCUGUUUGAGCCUCUAUUC